UAAAGGGUUUCUCUACACCUAAACAAUUAUGCUACAUGUAUCUUGAACACCUCAAGCUAGAAAAUAAACCCGGGACAUGCUCAGCUUAGAUGACGAUUCAGCAACAUAUUAGAAGGGGUAUCUAAUUUGAUGAGAGCAGAGCAAACCAACGCACUAAAGGAACGAGGGUUCUUGGCCAUCAAAGGAUGGAUCAGGAGCUACGUCGCCAGCUCAACAUACCAAGCAGUAAUGUACAUGUAACACUACACAAUUCUCAAAUCAAUGCUAAUGUCUCUGGGGCAAAUUGUCGAAUAGGUGGUGAAUGCGAACUUGAGAGGUUUGGUAGUUCAGUAGAUAGAUACAUUCAAUGAAUCGGCAUGACGUGAGAUGGUUAUCCAAAUGAAUCAACAAAUUCGAAGGCAAACAAAGAACGAUCCAACAUUAGAGUGCUCUCAAUCGAAGAGAAACAAAACAUCCUAGGAUGAUUACUUGGGAUCGGCUACAGUGACGCAUGACUUGAAUCGCAGGGGCGGAAGAGAGCCGUGACAAAGUGGAGAACGCACUCACUGGAAAUGAUGGCGCCGAUCGGGGGUAGGAUGGUCGUCGACGUGGAGCGGCGCAAUCAAUGAGGGCCUAGGGUUGAGGACGUAGUUGGAGUCGACGGCAGCAAGCAAAUGGAGUGGACGCUUGCGAGCGGACAAAGUGGAUGCUGCCGAGAGGAGUCAAUGACUGCAAGGAGGACGAAGUCAGAGUCGACGACGAGGUGAGCGAUGAUGUGACCGACGAGAGGAUGGGGUUGGAGUCGACGGGGCUAGGGAGGAUGGAGUCAUAAUUGAUGGUGAGAUGAGCAAUGAUCUAACCGACAAGAGGACGGUGAUGGCAGGGAGGGCCGCGUGUUCUGAUCUCGGAGACGAACCCAAGAUGGGUUCGAUGAGAUCAAAUCCAGCGAAGUCGUUGACUACAAGGAGGAUGAAGUUAGAGUCGACGGCGAGGUGAGCGAUGAUGUCACCAGCGAGAGGACAGAGUUGGAGUCGAUGGUAAGGAUGGACAGAUUCGGAGUCGACGGUGCUAGGGUUUU
rnacentral:lncRNA from 1 species